rnacentral:rRNA from 1 species
AACGAACGCUGGCGGCGCGCCUAAUACAUGCAAGUCGAACGAGAAUGUGUAGCAAUACACAUGUAAAGUGGCGAACGGGUGAGGACUACAUGGGUAACCUACCCUCGAGUGGGGGAUAACCAGCCGAAAGGUUGGCUAAUACCGCGUACGCUUCCGGGACUGCGGUUUCGGAAGGAAAGCGAUACCGUGGGUAUCGCGCUCUUGGAUGGGCUCAUGUCCUAUCAGCUUGUUGGUGAGGUAACGGCUCACCAAGGCAUCGACGGGUAGCUGAUCUGAGAGGAUGAUCAGCCACACUGGCACUGCGACACGGGCCAGACUCCUACGGGAGGCAGCAGUAAGGAAUAUUGCGCAAUGGGCGAAAGCCUGACGCAGCGACGCCGCGUGGGGGAUGAAGGUCUUCGGAUUGUAAACCCCUUUCGGGAGGGAAGAUGGGAUGGGGUAACCCAUUCGGACGGUACCUCCAGAAGCAGCCACGGCUAACUUCGUGCCAGCAGCCGAC